AAAUAAUUUGAAGUUAGUUCAACUGACUUUAGAAGAGUACAUGGAAACAAGAACUCGCGGAUGCUUUAGCAAUGCUAGAAAACAUCUGUUUGAAUGGGGUGCAGAGGGAGAAACAGAUUUAAAUUGUAACACUGACAUCUUUUAUCCCUUGAGAGGGGUGAUCUUUUCAAACUGCAGAUUAUGCAGAUAAUCUAAACUUCUCUUUAGCAAGAACUACAGUGACUCUAAAAGACUGCAACAACGUGAUGGGGGUGUAUCAAUCCUGUUCUGGCAGAAAAGAGGUUAAGAGGAACCAGGAUGCUAAUUUAACCCUCAGCUUCCCUUGGACACGGACAAGUAAUUAAGCUAACAGGCACACCUAAUGGGGUCUGAUCUUUCUUCUAAGCCUCAUUCUGAAGGCAAGUUCACUGAUGCAGGAGAGUCUGGAAUAGAGUCUAAACUAGGGAAGGAGGGAGUGGGGAGCAGCGUGUCCACAUGCUCCAAACAGGCUGAAGGAGCUCAGCAGUCCCGGAGGAGAAAGCGUCACGUUAUCGUCAUAGGCAACUCCAUCCUGAGAGGUACAGAGCGCCCCAUCUGUUGCCAGGACCCCUCGACAUGCAAAGUCUACUGCCUACCCAGAGCAAAGAUUCAGGACGUGACGGGGAUGAUCCAGGCCGUGAUCCAGCCCACUGAUUACUACCCCAUUGUCCUAAUCCUUGUGAGUACUAAUUGUGCGGCCAGGAGAAGCCCUGAUUACCUGAUGGCAGACUACCACACUCUGGGGGGGCAUGCUGAAGGAGAUAGGUGCACAGGUGGUAUUUUCUUCUGUCCUACCAGUGAGUGAAUGUGGAAGACGGCAUGAGACGUGCAUCGCAGAGACCAGCUGGCACCUUUGGGAAUGGUGUCUUGAGGUGGGCUUUGGCUUCCUUGACAACAACCUACACAUCACGACAAGAGACAUGCUAGGAUGGGAUGGGCUCCACCUUUCCCCUAAAGGUAAGCGUGUGUUCUCUUCUAGGUUGGCAGAUCACCUCCAGCGGGCUUUAAACUAGGCUCGUCGGGGGAAGGGGAAGACGAGGGAGGAGGAAGCCUUGG
rnacentral:lncRNA from 1 species